UCCUUCUGCCUCAAAGCCCUUCCAUUGACCC
rnacentral:piRNA from 1 species